rnacentral:misc_RNA from 1 species
UGAACAUGAAUGUCACCUCUUAUGUUUUUCUGUACAUGCCAAUUGAAUUGGUGAAAGUAAAAUUGAAAUUAAUGCAUGUUCAUGUUGCAUAUCACUAUGAGCACUAAUCAUUAAAUGGUUUUGCAGUGUAGCAAGUAGUGACAUUCUAAAUUUAUUCCAGUAGCAAAAUUUGUGGUAUAUUUUAGCUGCCAAAAACCUCUAGUUUCACAGAAAAACUCUUGUUAUAUGUAAGGUCAUUCCUUCCCUUAAAAAAAUGCCAAAAGGGUGGGGAUAGUGAAAAA